AACCGAUCCAAUAUAACCCGAAUCCGAAUGAUAUAUGGUUACUUUGGAUAUAUCCGAACCGAUCCAAAACCAUAGUGUUAUAUCCGAAUCCGAUCCGUAUUUGUAAAUUUACUAGAAUGAGACCUAGAGGGUGUUACAAAAUAGAACCGAAAUUCGAAAAACCCGAUCCGAACCCGAUGGGUACCCGAACGCCCUGACCGAAGUUUCCGUUUAAAUAUGUAGCUUAAAUGAUGAGAAGGAAUCAAACUCCCCACCUCGUUGCUAAUUUUUAACAAUCACCCGCAUUAAUUUUCAUUUCUAAGAAUCAAAUUCUCGGAAAAUUGUCGGAUAGUAGUGUUCCGACAACGUCUCGAAAAAUUUGGCCAUCGGUUUGGGCUUCUAUUUCUACUGGGCCAUGGAUUGAUUCCCGUUAUAGAAACAGUAUGAUAUGAACAAAGUUACAAUGGCAGUGAUAGAUCGGCAUCUAGACAUGAUAGUUUAGAUAAUUGGGUGGUCUAUUUGGAACCAAAUAAUGUGGUUAUAUGCAAAUGGAUGCUCAAGCCGUUAGUAAGUCAUUGAGUAGUGGUUGUAUUAAGAUUAACUUAAUAUGUAUGCGUUGUAGUUUCUUUUGGUUUGAAGUUUAAUUACUAUCAUUAAUGACUUAACUACAUAAAGUGUUAGGAGACACAUGAACUAUCGAAAAUUGACGGGCUCUACGAAAGCUAUGUUCUAUGAACAUUGGAAGAAUUUGAUUGGACGGAGAAAUGAAAUGCUUAAUGUAUUUUUGGGCUCAAGAAAAUAAUCAACACAGAGGAUUCACAACCUCGAAAGUGAGAUCAAACACCGAACCAAAACUAAAUGGAAGAAUAUAUAUAUACUUCGUAAAACAAUGAAUUAUAGUUAAUUUUGAGUAGGGAUGGACAUAAAUACUUGAUACUCAGCUCUUAUCUGUUAUUGGCCUUGUAUCGGCUUCUAAACGCAAAUAUUUGGCAAUGUCAAAACAAGUAGCAAGUAUAAUAAUAAUUUGAAUACUUGUGUAUAUGGAUCAAGUAACAAGUACUAAAACACUAAGACACUAGUUCUGCCCAUUCUUAAUUUUAAGGACUCUGGGGUUUUCCUUUUUAUGAUAGAAAUUGUAUGUUGUUGAAAAAUGUUUCCUCUAUAUUUAAAAUAGAAAACACAUAUACAAUACUUUGAGAAAGCUCCAGGUCACAGCACAUGACCUUUUUUUUCUUAUCAAAUCAAAUUUGCACUAAUCUUAAAAAUGUUUACACUUCCAGCAAAAGAGGAUACAAAGAGACUAUUAACGGCCAAACAAACAACAACAACAACAACAUAAAAGAUAGAAUAGCGAUACAAAUCACAAAAAGGAACCAUAUGAAAUCAUAUUACAACAACAUCAUAAGAUUCUUCAAAGAAUGCAUCUAGUGUAACCCGUAAAACCACACACUGCACUAUACGGAGAAAAGAGCAUGCGAUAGGAGGAAGAUCCUUGCAAUACCAACGAAACUUGUUCAUCUAAUUCACUCCAUAUAAGAAAAAACAUUAGAAAAGAAGACUGAUUCAAACGAGGAAAAAGUGGGAAAUCAUAAUCCGCCACAUCCAAUUCAUCACCGCACGUGACUCUAACAUGGACUUCUGAACACAUGUAAAACGGAAAAGUAAUGCAUAUUUUGUUCGUUAACAACUGCAUAGUCCAGUCCAUUUUACAGUGGGUUUGGAGAUGCUCUAAGACAUUUUUGAUUGGUUGUUUCUUUCUUUGAAAUAUCAAUUUUACUCUUUCGAAAAAGAAAAAAAAAACUUUUUGUAAUAGAAUUUAGAGAGAGUGAGGGUGGAUUUUGUGAAGGUGUUAGUCGAAAUCAGGGAAUCUUCAGAUACUGAUAUGAUCGAAUUCUUCUUCUAUAGGAAGGAGGAGAAAAAAAAUCCAUAUUCGAGUUUGCGAAUAUUCUGAUCUGACUGCUCAUGUUUGGUUCGCUUUUACAAGGGGGGGGGGGAGAGAAGAGAGUGUCUGAGAGCGAUAGUGAUAGAGAGAGAGAGAGAGAGAGAGAUAGGAGAGAAUGAACUGUGGUGAUGAGGCCGGAGCUUCUUCAGGCCAUUUAGAUUGGAGAUUCUCUCAGGUUUCCGGUGAACGCAGCGCUGGUGAAGAAGUCCAAGAAGUUAUGGGAUAUCAACUUGGACUCGGGUCCGGUGUCAACUUUCCAGGUCCACGAACAUUUAAAGACCAAAGCUCUGUGAUCUAUAUGAAAAUGAUUCCGUAUUCGAUAAGUUUGAAUGUUGUCUAAAUGGGGACGGAUUGCGAGUGGCUACAGGUUCUUACAGCAAUCUACAACUUUGGAAGCAAGCAAAAACCCAAUUAGGUAACAAACUGGUGCUAGCAAGGUGAAUCUAUUUCUCUCAUUUUUUCCUUAGUCUAAGUAUUUGAUUAGAUUGAAUAUGUGAUAAAAUGUUAUAGGAGACAAGUCAAAAUUCCCGCGAGGCCAUCAAUACCAUCAUUAAGCAGUACAACACGCGUGGUUAGAAGAGGUAAGUGAGUUUCAUCCAUGUGCCUUUCAGCAUUAGCCCCUCAAGGGAAUUAAUCAAGAAAUAGUUUAAACAGGAGCAGAGACUCCUGGAAGCAAUAAGAAUGGUAACACUUUUGACCACGCAACCAAAUUGCUGCAUCCAACAGAAAAUUGAUAGCUUCUGCCGCUGCUAACAGUUUGUACAUGUAAUAUGCCU